ensembl:processed_transcript
CUGACCUGCAGUGCAGCAGAAUUCCGAGACAUGUAACUUACUCCAGAGACGCACUAACUUGCACAGCAUUGAAUGGAAAAGGCUUUGUCCAUGUCCAGUUGAGGGCAUCAAGAACACGCAGAUGGCCUAAACCUGUGUCAGCCUGGACAGACUGCAGUUCUGCUACUCCACGCCAAGGCUUUUGUAUGGAUGUCUUGACUGCUACUGUGUUCUCUAAAGGUUUUCUGGAAGCUCCAUUUGAGGGCAUCAAGGACAUACUGAUGGCCUAAACCAGUGUCAGCCUAGACAGACAGACAGACAUCUAUUGCAGUUCUGCUACACAAGACCAAACUCUCUGCUUUUGUAUGGAUGUCUGACUAGUAUGGUGUUCUCUAAAGGUGUAACUGGAGCAAAACAACAGCACCCGUUACAGUGAAAUUUGUGUUCAUAAAAGAUAGUGAUAUAUCAGGUAUAGUAACAGGUCCAGUACAUUUGUCAUAAAGGUUAAAUCACAGUAAGUACUGUAAAAAUAACUUGUUUGCCUUUGCCACAACAGGUCAUGGUGUGUGCAUACUACUCGUAGUAAACACACACGCUGAUCUGAUGGGGGAGAGAUAUACGCAAACACAUUUGUAUUUACUGUUUUGUUUUGCCUCACUAAAGUGUUGUUGGAGCUUGGUAUGUUCACAGUUGAAAUCACUGAAGUCACAUGGAACGUUUUGACAAUGUGUUUUGUGCCUUAUCUUGACAAUGACCAUCUUGGGACCAUUGCUGUCUGUAGAGGAUGAGGAGCAUUUAAUCUAAAAUAUUUUAGUUUGUGUUCUGAAGAUUAACAAGUCUCUGGGAUGACACAAGUAAUUAAUAACAGAACCUAUAUGAACACUUAAUGUGACAUGUAAUAGUGAAAUAGUGGUCCUACAUUCACAAAUGUGAGCCAUUAUUAUAAGACCCAUGUGAACAUGCAAUUUUUAUGAUACUAAUAAUAAUAAUGGAAUAACAAAUUGCUUUUACUGUUGUGUUUGUGAGAGAGAAUCAAACCAUAUAUUCUACACAUUUUCUUGAUGAUUUACUGAAAUAUUUGUCUAUGUUCCACUGUCACAGGUGCUCAGUUUUGCUGCAGUAAUGCUAAACACAAUAGAUUUACUUUAUACAAAAAAAAUAAAUAAAUAAAUAUUUAGCAUGCAGACCUGCAAAGUGAAGCAGUAAUGUCAGGUUUAGAUUAUAGCAUGAGUUUUCACUAUUGUGAAAGUGAAGCCAUUCAUUUACAAUGAAUUGGAAUAGCAAACCUCAUCAUUGAUUUUGUAGGAAACUCACCUGGUGUUUGAGAAAUAAAUAUGUAUUUAAGUGCUAGACUGAUAUAGAUGUUUUAGUGUUUUACACUUGAUUUUUUUGUCCCCAGUGCCAUCUUUUACCUCAAGUGUUUCUCUCAACCUAUAAAACCUCAAACAGAUGUAAUGUA